rnacentral:rRNA from 1 species
UACGAAGGGGGCUAGCGUUGCUCGGAAUCACUGGGCGUAAAGCGCACGUAGGCGGCUUUUUAAGUCAGGGGUGAAAUCCUGGAGCUCAACUCCAGAACUGCCUUUGAUACUGAAGAUCUUGAGUUCGGGAGAGGUGAGUGAACUGCGAGUGUAGAGGUGAAAUUCGUAGAUAUUCGCAAGAACACCAGUGGCGAAGGCGGCUCACUGGCCCGAUACUGACGCUGAGGCACGAAAGCGUGGGGAGCAAACAGG